rnacentral:rRNA from 1 species
UGGGGGAUAUUGCACAAUGGGCGAAAGCCUGAUGCAGCGACGCCGCGUGGGGGAUGAAGGCCUUCGGGUUGUAAACUGCUUUUGCUCUGAACAAGGCGCACCAUGGGGUGUGUUGAGUGUAGGGGUUGAUUAGCGCCGGCUAACUACGUGCCAGCAGCCGCGGUAAUACGUAGGGCGCGAGCGUUGUCCGGAAUUAUUGGGCGUAAAGGGCUUGUAGGUGGCUGGUUGCGUCUGUCGUGAAAGCUCAUGGCUUAACUGGGGGUUUGCGGUGGGUACUGGCUGGCUUGAGUGCAGUAGGGGAGGCUGGAAUUCCGGGUGUAGCGGUGGAAUGCGCAGAUAUCAGGAGGAAUACCGGUGGCGAAGGCGGGUCUCUGGACUGUUACUGACACUGAGGAACGAAAGCAUGGGGAGCGAACAGG